rnacentral:rRNA from 1 species
AGUGAACGCUGGCGGUAGGCCUAACACAUGCAAGUCGAGCGGCAGCACAGUAAGAGCUUGCUCUUACGGGUGGCGAGUGGCGGACGAGUGAGGAAUACAUCGGAAUCUACUUUUUCGUGGGGGAUUACGUAGGGCAACUUACGCUACUACCGCAUACGACCUACGGGUGAAAGCAGGGGAUCUUCGGACCUUGCGCGAUUCUAUGAGCCGAUGUCGGAUUAGCUAGUUGGCUGGGUAAAGGCCCACCAAGGCGACGAUCCGUAGCUGGUCUGAGAGGAUGAUCAGCCACACUGGAACUGAGACACGGUCCAGACUCCUACGGGAGGCAGCAGUGGGGAAUAUUGGACAAUGGGCGCAAGCCUGACGCAGCCACGCCGCGUGAGUGAAGAAGGUCUUCGGGUCGUAAAACUCUGUUAUUAGGGAAGAAAAGAAGUGUGUGAAAAUCCGCACGUUCUGACGGUACCCAAACAAAAAGCCACGGCUAACUUCGUG